rnacentral:rRNA from 1 species
CCCAUUGCGAAGGCGAUCUGCUGGAACUCAACUGACGCUAAGGCGCGAAAGCGUGGGGAGCAAACAGGAUUAGAUACCCUGGUAGUCCACGCCCUAAACGAUGUACACUAGUUGUUGGGGUGCUAGUCAUCUCAGUAAUGCAGCUAACGCAUUAAGUGUACCGCCUGGGGAGUACGGUCGCAAGAUUAAAACUCAAAGGAAUAGACGGGGACCCGCACAAGCGGUGGAGCAUGUGGUUUAAUUCGAAGAUACGCGAAGAACCUUACCUGGGCUUGAUAUCCUAAGAACCUUUUAGAGAUAAGAGGGUGCUAGCUUGCUAGAACUUAGAGACAGGUGCUGCACGGCUGUCGUCAGCUCGUGUCGUGAGAUGUUGGGUUAAGUCCCGCAACGAGCGCAACCCACGUAUUUAGUUGCUAACGGUUCGGCCGAGCACUCUAAAUAGACUGCCUUCGUAAGGAGGAGGAAGGUGUGGACGACGUCAAGUCAUCAUGGCCCUUAUGCCCAGGGCGACACACGUGCUACAAUGGCAUAUACAAUGAGACGCAAUACCGCGAGGUGGAGCAAAUCUAUAAAAUAUGUCCCAGUUCGGAUUGUUCUCUGCAACUCGAGAGCAUGAAGCCGGAAUCGCUAGUAAUCGUAGAUCAGCCAUGCUACGG